rnacentral:lncRNA from 1 species
AAAGACUUCUUUCUGUGUUUUAGACUGUACAUAGGUUUAUGAUUUACUUUUUUAAAAAAAAUAUUUUUUUAAGUUGUAGUUGGAUAGAAUACCUUUAUUUUAUUUAUUUAUUUUUAUGUGGUGCUGAGGAUCAAACCUAGUGCCUUGCACAUGCUAGGUGAUUAUUCUCUCACGGAGCCACAUCCACAGCCUUUAUGAUUUACUUUGAAUUAACUUUUGUACAUGAUUUGAAGCAUGGAUUCAAGUUUAUAUUUGUUGCAAAUAGAUAAUUAUUCCAGAAAUAGUUGUUGAAAGACUAUUAUUUUUCUACUGGGUUGCCUCAGGGGUUUUGUCAAAAAUUAGUUGUCCAUUUUAUAUUUAUUCAACUUCAAAUCGAUGUCAGACAAUGUGCUAGCAAUGAAGAUAUGUAUCAUUAAGUGUUUUUUGGUUGCAAAGACUAGAGACAAAUAUUUCCAACUCAAAUAAAAUAAUACACUUAUUGGAAGGAUGUAAAGUAUAAUAGAAUUAAAGGAAAAGCUGAAAAUCAGUUGUUGGCUACUUUCACUGAUAAACGGGGGUAGGUAAUUUCCCAAAGGAUAAUGAGGCCCUAUCAACAGAAGAAGAGAAAAUUGUGGUAGGUGUCUGCUACAACAGUGCUUCUUAACAUUUUUUCCCCAUACCAACACAUGAUAAACGAUAAGAAUUGAGCAGUUUGUGAGGAUAAACUGAUGAAUAUUAGCAAGUGUCUGUAUGAGGUGUGAUAAAAAUUUCAUUAUUAUUCAUUAUAUUAUGUAAUUUUAAGAAUAAAGCAAAAUAUCAGGGAAGAUAUAGAAUAUUGAAUUAUGUAAAACUUCUCAAUAAGGUAUUAAAUUUAUUGAAGAACUUUCACUUUUUUUCUAUUAUAUGAUAUUUCAGACCUUUUCUCAAAAAUAAUUAUAAUAUACUUAAGGAAAAGUACAAUGCAGCUCAGUGAGUUUUCACAAAGUGAGUAUACAUGUGUUCCAUUUCUGCAUACUUGCAUAACAAAUCACCUCAAAAUGUACAUGCUUAAAAUUGAAGCAUUUCUUUUCUUCAUGAAUUUACAGUUUAAAUAGGAUUCAGAUUGGGUAGCUCGAAGGCCAGGAGACUGGAAAUAUCUGCAGUCUCCUUCACUUAUACGUCUGGCUAUUAAUGCUACCUGUUGCUGAAACUUUAGUUGUCUGUGAGCAGAAUACCUAUGCGUGGCCUUUCCAUGUGACUUUCUGUCUACAUGGUGAUUGAGUACUAAGGUUCAGUGUCCCAAGAAACAGGUAGAAGGCCCAUGUAGAAGCUCUAGUAUCUUUUUAAACCUAGAAUUGAAAGUUAUGCAAUGUCACUUCCACUGCAUUGUGUGUGUGUGUGUGUGCGCACGCACGUUUGCAUGCAUGCAUGGUACUGGGGAUCAAACAUGACCUCACAUGCUAGGCCAGCAUUCUACCACUGAGUUACACUCCUAGCAUUAAAGCAUUCUUUUUGCUAGAGGUCAGUCACUAAGGCCAGCCCAAGUACAAAGGGGAGAAGGAGAGCUUUAUCUUUUGAUAGGAAGCAUUUCAAUGAAUCCAUGGAUAUGUUUU